rnacentral:rRNA from 1 species
GUGUGUCGCAUAAUACCAUAGAGAGAUUUAAUUAGGGGUGAUAGGCCUCCCAAGAGCUAAGAUAUCUUGAUAGUCUUGAAAUGUAUUUAGUACAUAAGUCAGAUAUAAAGUGGUCAGGCUUUAUAAAAUCUUCAAACCUAUUGUUUAGAGAUUAUGGUUUAAACGCCAUUUAUUUUCAAACUUUAAUAUGUAUCUUUAGGUGUUUAAGAUGAAUAGGGACCACUAACAAAACAGUAGCUAUUAGUUAUAAUGUUAUUAUAAGUAUUAUACCAGACGGCCAUCAUGAACUCGGCAAUUUUUACCGUGAACUUUUUACCAAAAACAUAGCUAUAUGCUGACACAUAUAUAGUUUUUUCUGCUCAAUGUAAUAUAAAUAGCCGCAGGGCCCUGACUGUGCAAAGGUAGCAUAAUCAGUUGGCUUAUAAUUGUUUUCUAGUAUGAAGGAAGGCAUGGGGGUGAGCUAUAUAAUAGCCGUGGUUAGAAAUUACUUACUAAGUGAAAAUACUUACCAAAAAAUAAUAGACGAGAACACCCUAGAAAUUUUGAGGAGAGCGUUAAGGUUUUUGGUUUUUGUUGGGGCGACACAGUAGCACUUAACCUACUAAUAAUAAUGAGAUUAUUUUCGUAUGAUUAAUUAAAUUACUCUAGGGAUAACAGCAUAAUAUUGAAAAGUUUGUGACCUCGAUGUUGGACUAGGAUACUAUAACCCAGAAGGUUAUUAUUAAAGCUCUGUUCGAGCUAUUGACUCCUACAUGAUCUGAGUUCAGACCGGCGUAAGCCAGGUCAGUUUCU